GCAACAGCUCAAAUUUGAAAUCUGGCCCCCCUCGGGGGCCCGAGUUGUAAUUUGGAGAGGAUGUUUGUGGCGCGGCGCCUACCGGAGUUCCUUGGAACAGGACGCCACAGAGGGUGAGAGCCCCGUACGGUGGGACGCCUAGCCGCAACGAAACUCCUUCGACGAGUCGAGUAGUUUGGGAAUGCUGCUCAAAAUGGGAGGUAAAUUUCUUCUAAAGCUAAAUACCGGCCAGAGACCGAUAGCGCACAA
rnacentral:rRNA from 1 species